AUCCAGGUGACGAGUCCCGAAUAGGACGAAAUGCGCAUCCUGGAU
rnacentral:hammerhead_ribozyme from 1 species